AGUCGAGGGGUACAGAGGAGCUUGCUUCUGCUGACGACCGGCGCACGGGUGCGUAACGCGUAUACAAUCUGCCUUUUACUAAGGAAUACCCCAGAGAAAUUUGGAUUAAUGCCUUAUAGUAUAUCGACUUCACAUGGAGAUGAUAUUAAAGAUUACGGUAAAAGAUGAGUAUGCGUCCUAUUAGCUAGAUGGUGUGGUAACGGCACACCAUGGCUACGAUAGGUAGGGGCCCUGAGAGGGGGAUCCCCCACACUGGUACUGAGACACGGACCAGACUCCUACGGGAGGCAGCAGUGAGGAAUAUUGGACAAUGGAGGGAACUCAGAUCCAGCCAUGCCGCGUGCAGGAAGACGGCCCUAUGGGUUGUAAACUGCUUUUAUACAGGAAGAAACAGUUCUACGUGUAGAACCUUGACGGUACUGUAAGAAUAAGGAUCGGCUAACUCCGUGCCAGCAGCCGCGGUAAUACGGAGGAUCCAAGCGUUAUCCGGAAUCAUUGGGUUUAAAGGGUCCGUAGGUGGAUAAUUAAGUCAGAGGUGAAAUCUUGCCGCUUAACGGUAAAAUUGCCUUUGAUACUGGUUGUCUUGAGUUAUUAUGAAGUGGUUAGAAUAUGUAGUGUAGCGGUGAAAUGCAUAGAUAUUACAUAGAAUACCAAUUGCGAAGGCAGAUCACUAAUAAUAUACUGACACUGAUGGACGAAAGCGUGGGGAGCGAACAGGAUUAGAUACCCUGGUAGUCCACGCCGUAAACGAUGGUCACUAGCUGUUCGAACUUCGGUUUGAGUGGCUAAGCGAAAGUGAUAAGUGACCCACCUGGGGAGUACGUUCGCAAGA
rnacentral:rRNA from 1 species